GGGUACUCAUAGAUAUUCCCUGACUAGCUGGACCGUGGUAGUAGUGAGGAACGUGACAUUUCUGAGCUACCUUUGUAGAUCACAUCUCGUUAGCAGGAAGGAUAGGGUUUAUAGGUGCGGGUUGAACAUCCUUUGUGGUGUCUAGAUUCCGUUAGCCUCCCCAUUAGAACAGUAGAUCAUCCUUACCAAGGUUAGAAGGAGACUACGGUUGCAGUCUUCUCUAUUUAUCACUCACAUCGAAAGACAUUCUUUGUGCCUAAAGGGAUAAUAGCAAUAGAUUUGGUUAGUCAGAUGCACCCUUUCUCCCAGUGGUAAAAAUAUAAAUACGAUACUCUGGAAAACCUCCCGGGUGAAAUGCUCACCGAUAUCCGUGCGCUUGCGGAUCAUUUCCUUAUUGCGUUACCAAAUAUCAACAAGCAUUUCUGGCGCCGUUGCCGGGGAGAAAGACGGUUUGCUGAGAUAACUUUGAGUCUUGCUAUUAUCUUGUAUUAUACUUUUAUACUUUUAUUCUUUUAUUCUUUUAUCUUUUUAUUUUUAUCUUUAUGGAUAACUCAAAUUCCAUACCUAUUAUUAAAUUCUUUGCACCUUCGGAGACCAGCCAUAGACCAUGGGAGUCAACACGUCCUGCCCCUAAUUAUGAUCCGUGUCCGGAGUUGAUUGCAAUAGGUCAAAACCAAACCUUUUCUAUAGCUGAGGUCCUAUCUUUUAAUCAAAAAGAUAAUGCACUUUUAGCUACACCUAGGGAAUCUUUUAAUCUUUCUAUAAAUUCUGGUUUAGACCUAGCCCUACAAGACCAUGUUUUUCCUAGAUAUUUUCACAUUGGUCUUAAUCAUAUAAUCCUUGGUAGAGUCUUUCUUUCUUUAUCAGUUAGUAACGGAAGGU
rnacentral:lncRNA from 1 species